rnacentral:rRNA from 1 species
AACCGUAUAGGGGAGCCGUAGGGAAACCGAGUCUUAACCGGGCGUUAAGUUGCAGGGUAUAGACCCGAAACCCGGUGAUCUAGCCAUGGGCAGGUUGAAGGUUGGGUAACACUAACUGGAGGACCGAACCGACUAAUGUUGAAAAAUUAGCGGAUGACCUGUGGCUGGGGGUGAAAGGCCAAUCAAACCGGGAGAUAGCUGGUUCUCCCCGAAAGCUAUUUAGGUAGCGCCUCGUGAAUUCAUCUCCGGGGGUAGAGCACUGUUUCGGCUAGGGGGCCAUCCCGGCUUACCAACCCGAUGCAAACUGCGAAUACCGGAGAAUGUUAUCACGGGAGACACACGGCGGGUGCUAACGUCCGUCGUGAAGAGGGAAACAACCCAGACCGCCAGCUAAGGUCCCAAAGUCAUGGUUAAGUGGGAAACGAUGUGGGAAGGCCCAGACAGCCAGGAUGUUGGCUUAGAAGCAGCCAUCAUUUAAAGAAAGCGUAAUAGCUCACUGGUCGAGUCGGCCUGCGCGGAAGAUGUAACGGGGCUAAACCAUGCACCGAAGCUGCGGCAGCGAACGUAUCACCCAAGACAACUUUACGGAGUUGACGAUUGACGGAGCGAAGCGACGUCAAAGCGUUCAUUAAAGUCGAGUUGGCUUAGGGAUACGUUCGUUGGGUAGGGGAGCGUUCUGUAAGCCUGUGAAGGUGUGUCGUGAGGCAUGCUGGAGGUAUCAGAAGUGCGAAUGCUGACAUAAGUAACGAUAAAGCGGGUGAAAAGCCCGCUCGCCGGAAGACCAAGGGUUCCUGUCCAACGUUAAUCGGGGCAGGGUGAGUCGACCCCUAAGGCGAGGCCGAAAGGCGUAGUCGAUGGGAAACGGGUUAAUAUUCCCGUACUUGGUGUUACUGCGAAGGGGGGACGGAGAAGGCUAUGUUGGCCGGGCGACGGUUGUCCCGGUUUAAGCGUGUAGGUGUGUGUUCCAGGUAAAUCCGGUUCACUUUAACACUGAGGCGUGACGACGAGGCACUACGGUGCUGAAGCAACAAAUGCCCUGCU